rnacentral:piRNA from 1 species
AACAAGUACUACUUCCUAUGCCGG